GACUAUAUUAAUAAUUUUUUUAGUGCUAACAUAUUUAAAACUUUAAUUGUGUUUAAUUUUUCUUCUCUUUAUUUUUUAGUGCUGCAAUUCUCUUAAGCUAUCCUGGAAAACCCAAGAUUCCUCUUGAAUAUGUCAUUGUUGAGAUUUUCUAGUUGGUUUGCUUAUCAUUUAAAUAAUUUUCAGUUUUGUUGGAAUUUGGAUGACUGGAAUGACUGUAUUAGUAUGGACCCUUUACUUCCAAAACCUGUGUUUGUUAGAGAAACCCUGCAUAAAUCUUUAAGUCAAUUUGUGUUCAAAUCCUGAGGAUAAACUGCAGAUUUAUCGAGAGAACUUUGAACAAGCAUACAUUGAUGCGACUGAGGCGUUUUAUCGUGAAAAAGCACCUGAAUAUUUGGAAUCAAACAGUGUACAGAAUUACAUGAGGUAUGCAGACCAAAAGCUGAA